rnacentral:rRNA from 1 species
CUCGAGGUAAAGAGUCAUAGAGGUAGAGCACUGUGUGGACUAGGGACCCUUCUCGGGUUACCGGAUUCAGAUAAACUCCGAAUGCCGUAUACUUAUACUCGGGAGUCAGACUGCGAGUGAUAAGAUCCGUAGUGGAAAGGGAGACAGCCCAGUCCACCAGUUAAGGUCCCCAAAUAUAUGUUAAGUGGAAAAGGAUGUGGGGUUACUUAGACAACCAGGAUGUUGGCUUAGAAGCAGCCACCAUUGAAAGAGUGCGUUAAAGCUCACUGGUCAAGUGACCCCGCGCCGAAAAUGUACCGGGGCUAAACAUCUUGCCUGAACAGUGGAUGAACCUCUUUAGAUGUUCGUGGUAGGAGAGCGUUCUAAGGG